rnacentral:snRNA from 1 species
AUACUUACCUGGCAAGGGAGACACCGUGAUCACCAGGCGGUUCACCCAGGGCGAGGCUCGGCCAUUGCACUCCGGCUGUGCUGACCCCUGCGAAUUUCCCAAAUGUGGAAAUCUCGAUUGCAUAAUUUCUGGUAGUGGGGACUGCGUUCGCGCUCUCCCCU